rfam:Ovis aries breed Texel chromosome 17, whole genome shotgun sequence.
UUCCUGGUGGUCCAGUGGUUAAGACUCUCCACUGCCAAAGCAGAGGGCUCAGGUUCAAUCCCUGGUCAGGGAA